rnacentral:rRNA from 1 species
UACGAAGGGGGCUAGCGUUGCUCGGAAUCACUGGGCGUAAAGGGUGCGUAGGCGGGUUUCUAAGUCAGAGGUGAAAGCCUGGAGCUCAACUCCAGAACUGCCUUUGAUACUGGAAGUCUUGAGUUCGGGAGAGGUGAGUGGAACUGCGAGUGUAGAGGUGAAAUUCGUAGAUAUUCGCAAGAACACCAGUGGCGAAGGCGGCUCACUGGCCCGAUACUGACGCUGAGGCACGGAAGCGUGGGGAGCAAACAGG